CCGGGCCCCCGCCCGCGGACGCAGCGAGAGAACCUCGGCUACACCCUGGAAGUGCCGGGGCGACCGCCUGCGGAACGGGACCCGAUGGAGAACGUACAGCAACACGGUAUAAGGAGAAAGAGGACUAGAGUUGGAAUUAGAGAAAUUGGGUUCGAUCCCUCCCCUGUCACUUAGAGUCACAUAACCCUCUCCAGCCAAGGUUGUGGUCUUUUUGUCGUGGCUUGUUUGGAGAGUCUCACCCGGGUAGGUGGGGAAACUAAGGCAAACAGACAAAGCCCUAAGUGCUCCACAGGACAUGCUUCAACUGCUUUCAUGGCCAUUGGAAUAAACUGUUAUCAUCCGCCCGGUCCACUAAGGGAAGUCUUCACAUGCUUUGGGUGGACACUUCCCAACCCACUGACAGGUCUGAGGCCUGCCAGUUCCCUCUGAGAAUAACCAUCA